UACGGAGGAUGCGAGCGUUAUCCGGAUUUAUGGGGUUUAAAGGGUGCGUAGGCGGGAUGCCAAGUCAGCGGUCAAAUACGGGGGCUCAACCUGCGUCCGCCGUUGAAACUGGCGUUCUUGAGUGGGCGAGAAGUACGCGGAAUGCGUGGUGUAGCGGUGAAAUGCAUAGAUAUCACGCAGAACCCCGAUUGCGAAGGCAGCGUACCGGCGCCCGACUGACGCUGAAGCACGAAAGCGUGGGUAUCGAACAGG
rnacentral:rRNA from 1 species